rnacentral:rRNA from 1 species
GCGAAUCUUGAGGUGCUUGCACCUCUUGGUUAGCGGCGGACGGGUGAGUAACACGUGGGCAACCUGCCUGUAAGACUGGGAUAACUUCGGGAAACCGGAGUUAAUACCGGAUAAUCCUUUUCCUCUCAUGAGGGAAAGCUGAAAGUCGGUUUACGCUGACACUUACAGAUGGGCCCGCGGCGCAUUAGCUAGUUGGUGAGGUAACGGCUCACCAAGGCGACGAUGCGUAGCCGACCUGAGAGGGUGAUCGGCCACACUGGGACUGAGACACGGCCCAGACUCCUACGGGAGGCAGCAGUAGGGAAUCUUCCGCAAUGGACGAAAGUCUGACGGAGCAACGCCGCGUGAGCGAUGAAGGCCUUCGGGUCGUAAAGCUCUGUUGUUAGGGAAGAACAAGUACCGGAGUAACUGCCGGUACCUUGACGGUACCUAACCAGAAAGCCACGGCUAACUACGUGCCAGCAGCCGCGGUAAUACGUAGGUGGCAAGCGUU